rnacentral:rRNA from 1 species
GAUGAACGCUAGCGGCAGGCCUAAUACAUGCAAGUCGAACGAGAUUAAGGAGCUUGCUUCUUAUGAAAGUGGCGCACGGGUGCGUAACGCGUAUGCAACCUACCUUAAUCAGGGGGAUAGCCCGAAGAAAUUCGGAUUAACACCGCAUAAAAACACAGGAUAGCAUUAUCCAAUGUUCAAAUAUUUAUAGGAUUAAGAUGGGCAUGCGUGUCAUUAGCUAGUUGGCGGGGUAACGGCCCACCAAGGCGACGAUGACUAGGGGAUCUGAGAGGAUGACCCCCCACACUGGUACUGGGACACGGACCAGACUCCUACGGGAGGCAGCAGUAAGGAAUAUUGGUCAAUGGAGGCAACUCUGAACCAGCCAUGCCGCGUGCAGGAAGACUGCCCUAUGGGUUGUAAACUGCUUUUAUCCGGGAAUAAACCUUUUUACGUGUAAGAAGCUGAAUGUACCGGAAGAAUAAGGAUCGGCUAACUCCGUGCCAGCCGCCGCGGUAAAAC